CACUUAUAUACUGUAUAUGCAGAUGACCGUGCACAAGUUUGUAUAGACCAAUGGCUGUCUGUACCAAUGUAACCAGUAAACUUGAUGGACAUUAAAGUAAACUAACUGGAGUUCCAGUCUCUGUGUAUAACUAAGAAUCGGCACACCUUCUCUUCAAGAUCUUUUGUGGCGGAGCAGGACCUGCAAGGAAAGGAUCUGAAAUGAUGUUGCUGUGGUAUCUUCAUUCUCAAGUGACCCCAGAGCCAGCGAGAGGAUCUGGAGAAAGACCGAAAGACACUGAGAAUGUGAUUUUGGAAGCUACAAUCUCUCGGAUCAACCUGGAGAAAAGAGCCUUUCUCAAGGACAUACUGGUGGUUUUGAACCAGCAACCUUCUGCUCACCAGUUCAGUUGUUUAGCCAACUA